GCGCGAUCGGCCAAUGAGAGCGCGCGAUGCCUAUUCUCCAUGCAAAUCUCCUGGUUUUUUAUUUGAAUGAGGGAUUUUGGCCACGCCUCCUGCCUUGAAAAAUGAGGCCCGUCUGCCGUGGUGGCGCUGCGGUCUUUUCAAUCGCGUCCGGAGGUGAAUUUUUUUCCGGUUGCCUCUUUUUUAAUCCUCGAGGUGUUUUUUUGUUUUGUUUUGUUUUUGCAUGGAGAUUCCUCAGUAGCCACCCCUCCAUGAAACUUGAGAAAAGAAGUAGACAGAUCAGAGAACAAAUGUAAAAUCUCAUCAUCACGACUCAGGACCCACUUCCUGAACCACUGAAAGGUGAUUCUAGGCUAUGUCAAUUGACGGUUGAAGUUUACAAGGACACAAAUAGCAUUACACCCCUCUGUCCCCUCAGUACUUCCUCCUCUCUCCAUCUAGUCCCCCUCUGACCCAGAAAUAAAACUUCCUGAUGCUUUCAUGCCUCAUAUUUCUCAAUGUUUAGCUCUUUUAAAAGAUAUAAAAGGGGGCUAGAG
ensembl:lncRNA AABR07062350.1